rnacentral:rRNA from 1 species
AUACGGAGGGUGCAAGCGUUAUUCGGAAUCACUGGGCGUAAAGGACGCGUAGGCGGGUUUGUAAGUCAGGUGUGAAAUCCUACAGCUCAACUGUAGAACUGCACUUGAAACUACAGACCUAGAGUAUGGAAGGGGCAGAUGGAAUUAGUGGUGUAGGGGUAAAAUCCGUAGAUAUCACUAGGAAUACCGAAAGCGAAGGCGAUCUGCUGGGACAUUACUGACGCUGAGGCGUGAAAGCGUGGGGAGCAAACAGGAUUAGAAACCCUAGUAGUCC